CGUUUAGCUGACCCUGACGAGGGCCGGGUGAUCUCCGCUGUGGUGCGGAGACCUCCACCCAGGACCGCUCCCCCUCCCCGGGCCUCUCUUCUCUUGCCCGCGAGUCCUCUUGCCUCGUAGGCCUCUCGGAUCUGAUCGUGGGGUGAGGUGAGAGCAGGCCCGGGGAGGGUGGUGACCGCUGAGGAGCUGCAGGCACUGUCAAGAUGAUUGAAGUACUGACAACAACUGACUCUCAGAAUCUGCUACACCAGCUGAAUGCCCUGUUGGAACAGGAGUCUAGAUGUCAGCCAAAGGUCUGCGGCUUGAGACUAAUUGAAUCUGCACACGAUAAUGGCCUCAGAAUGACCGCCAGACUCAGGGACUUUGAAGUCAAAGAUCUUCUUAGUCUAACUCAAUUCUUUGGCUUCGACACGGAGUCAUUUUCUCUAGCUGUAAAUUUACUGGACAGAUUCCUGUCUAAAAUGAAGGUACAGCCCAAGCACCUUGGGUGUGUUGGACUGAGCUGCUUCUAUCUGGCUGUGAAAUCAAUAGAAGAGGAAAGGAAUGUCCCACUGGCAACUGACUGAUCCGAAUAAGUCAGUAUAGGUUCACGGUGUCAGACUUGAUGAGAAUGGAAAAGAUUGUGUUGGAGAAAGUGUGUUGGAAAGUCAAAGCAACAACUGCCUUUCAAUUUCUGCAACUCUAUUAUUCACUCAUUCAAGAGAAUUUACCAUUUGAAAGGAAAAAUAGCCUUAAUUUUGAAAGACUAGAAGCUCAACUUAAGGCAUGCCAUUGCAGGAUCAUGUUUUCUAAAGCAAAGCCUUCUGUGUUGGCAUUGUCUAUCGUUGCAUUGGAGAUCCAAGCACAGAAGUGUGUAGAGUUAACAGAAGGAGUAGAAUGUCUUCAGAAACAUUCCAAGAUAAAUGGCAGAGAUUUGAUCUUCUGGCAAGAGCUUGUAUCCAAGCGUCUAACUGAAUAUUCAUCAAACAAGUGUUCCAAACCAAAUGUUCAGAAGUUGAAAUGGAUUGUUUCUGGGCGUACUGCACGGCAAUUGAAGCAUAGUUACUACAGAAUAAGUCACCUCCCAACAAUUCCUGAAAUGGUUCCCUAACUGGUAGAUUUGUUUCACUGUUACUCUCCAGAUAGAGAAAAUUUUCUAAUGCUAUAAUUUUCUGUUACAAUUAAAGAUUUAAACUAUUAUCUUCAAAAUAAACAAAAUGGAGUUGGAAUAGCAAAGGAGAAAAUUACUUCACUGAUCUAGUCAGCUAAUAUUUGAAGUUACAUAAAAGGUACAACACUUUAAUAGUAAGGGAUUAUCCAACCUCUGAUAUGUAUGUUAGCCAUUUCAUUAGAUUUUCAGUUUAGGAAACACAUCCUCCUUAAUAGCCUGAAUUUUAGUAACAUCACUAGUGUUUUUUUAUUGCAUAUUUUAUUGUAUGUAGUCCUAAACUCCAACUCAUUUAAAGUUACAUGGGCCAAGUAGGACAAUAGGACCAAAAGUUUGAACCAUACAUAAACUGAUUUGAGACUAUUAGCUUGUAUGUAAAAUAUGUACUUAAAGAAAAAAUAACAUAUGGCAGAUGAUCUCCAGACUGGUGUCUGGAAACUGCCAGUGUGUCUCAAUACCAUGUCACUGCCGUAGCAGUUGGACCAAGAGAAAGUAAUUAUAUGCAUAAACAUGUAAACUUGGUUGCCAAAUACAUGAUAUACAUUCUUGCCAUCUAAAUUAACUCACAGUAAGAUUUAUUUUUUCCUACUAAAAACUGAAAGUUAACAUGAUUAUCAAUAUUAUGGUAUGGACUGCUCAAUUUUGUUAUUUUAGGCAGACUUCUGAUAAGUUGGGACUUUUUUUUAAUUUAAAUAAGCUUAUUAAGCAACAAAAACCUUGAAGCCUUUCUCUACAAGAUCUAUGGGUUCCACAGUGUUAUAAUGUAUUUAAGCUAGAUUAGCGUAAUGUUCUCAAACUUAGGAAAGCUGCCUAAUUAAUAUUAUGCUGUAGUAGAAUCAUGUUUAGAUUUGAAUUCAUCUGUGAAGCAUUCAGAUCAAAGCUAAAAUAGCAUAAAUGUGAAAUACUAAUGACAAGCCUGGGAAGGUAAACUGUGAAUCUUCAUUUCUAACAUUGAUCUAACUUUCUGUACUAGAUCAAUGUUCUGUAUUUAGUUGGUAUUGCAAAUGGUAAUCUACCUAAUUUUAAUGUUAAAUUUUGAGUUUUACAUCAAAACCAACAUUUCACAAAUGCACUUUAAAGACCUAAUAAGGGUUAAUAUUCUAGGCAGUGUAAAUGGUUUCUUGACACCCAUAAUGCAAGUAAUAGGUAAUCUAGAGAUGUGGACUUUAUUGCUGUAUGGGAAUUACAUUUAAAUUUUAGGGCAUUUUAUAUAAAGCAAAAAUAUAAACCUAGUAAAUUUGGCAUAUUUAUUAAAUUAUCUUUAACAUUUUUUCUAAAAAACAGAUGUUUGUAUCCACGAUGAACUUUUUGUACAGAACCUACUGCCUCAAUCUAGUCCUGCUGAGAAAAUUAGUUUCUAUUGUCUGAGUAACUCAAAAUAAAUUAUCACUUUGAAAACUUGCUUUAUCCCACUAAAGUAAGUUCAGGCUAGAUUUAACACUCCGGAAGUUUUUACACGAACUGUUUUUAUAAAAUUGCCAUUGUUUCUAAUUUAGAACUUCAUUUAAAAAGAAUAUACUUUCAGUAACACCCUUACUGUGCCAAAACAAAGUUUUAAGAAAAAUGAGUAGGCAUCUUCAUGAGGUUGCUGAGCUAGUGUUCAGGAUUCUUCAUGUCAGUGAUUGUAAGAACUACAGUGCUGAAGUGCUAUAGAUGGUUAUUCAAUGCAAAGUGUAACCUAAGUCCAUCCAGAAUGGCUGUAAACAAUUUUGACAUUAUGUUAUGGAUAAAUAAGCACUGAAAAAUAAGCCAAAGAACCAUAGUAUAUCUGAUCCUUAACUUCUAUAAACCAUGUUUUAUAGAUAACUUUUCAUUUUUCCCCAAAGGCUGAGCUAUUUCAAUAUUUUGAAUAUGUCAGUGUUAAUUUUGAGUUGGCAGAGGCAACUUAACCAACUUACCUUUCAAUAAAACUAUUAAAAU